rnacentral:pre_miRNA from 1 species
AAUAUUUGACGCCGUUGACUUUUUUAAACAUGUUUGACUGUUCGUCUUAUUUAAAAAAUUUAAGUAAUUAUUAAUUUUUUUCCUAUCAUUUGAUUCAUUAUUAAAUAUACUUUUAUGUAUACAUAUGGUUUUACAUAUUUCACAAAAGUUUUUGAUAAAACGAACGGUCAAACAUGUUUAAAAAAAUCAACGGCGUCAAAUAUU